rnacentral:piRNA from 1 species
UGCUUCAAUUCAACUUCAUUCAGGGUUUC